UAGGGAAUCUUCGGCAAUGGGGGGAACCCUGACCGAGCAACGCCGCGCGUGUGAAGAAGGCUUUCGGAUCGUAAAGCUCUGUUGUUAAGGAAGAACGAGUGUGAGAAUGGAAAGUUCAUUCUGUGACGGUACUUAACCAGAAAGGGACGGCUAACUACGUGCCAGCAGCCGCGGUAAUACGUAGGUCCCGAGCGUUGUCCGGAUUUAUUGGGCGUGAAGCGAGCGCAGGCGGUUAGAAAAGUCUGAAGUGAAAGGCAGUUGCUCAACCAUUUGAGGAUUUGGAAGCUGGUUAAGGUGAGUGCAGAAGGUGAGAGGGGAAUUCCAUGUGUAGGGGGGAAAUGAGGAGAUGUAUGGGAGAACACCAGUGGCGAGAGCGACUCUGUGGUCUGUAGCUGACGCGGAGGCUAAAAAGCGUGGGGAGCGAACAGG
rnacentral:rRNA from 1 species